rnacentral:rRNA from 1 species
AAAUUGAAGAGUUUGAUCAUGGCUCAGAUUGAACGCUGGCGGCAGGCCUAACACAUGCAAGUCGAACGGUAGCACAGAGAGCUUGCUCUCGGGUGACGAGUGGCGGACGGGUGAGUAAUGUCUGGGAAACUGCCUGAUGGAGGGGGAUAACUACUGGAAACGGUAGCUAAUACCGCAUAACGUCGCAAGACCAAAGAGGGGGACCUUCGGGCCUCUUGCCAUCAGAUGUGCCCAGAUGGGAUUAGCUAGUAGGUGGGGUAACGGCUCACCUAGGC